UGUGUGCCUUGGCAGUCGACUAGAGUUUGAUCCUGGCUCAGAACGAACGCUGGCGGCAGGCUUAACACAUGCAAGUCGAGCGAGGACUUCGGUCCUAGCGGCGGACGGGUGAGUAACGCGUGGGAACGUGCCCUUCUGUGCGGAAUAGCCUCGGGAAACUGAGAGUAAUACCGCAUACGCCCUUCGGGGGAAAGAUUUAUCGCAGAAGGAUCGGCCCGCGUCUGAUUAGGUAGUUGGUGGGGUAAUGGCCUACCAAGCCUACGAUCAGUAGCUGGUUUGAGAGGAUGAUCAGCCACACUGGGACUGAGACACGGCCCAGACUCCUACGGGAGGCAGCAGUGAGGAAUCUUGGACAAUGGGGGCAACCCUGAUCCAGCCAUGCCGCGUGAACGAUGAAGGCCUUAGGGUUGUAAAGUUCUUUCAGUCGUGAAGAUAAUGACGGUAGCGACAGAAGAAGCCCCGGCUAACUCC
rnacentral:rRNA from 1 species